rnacentral:lncRNA from 1 species
UCUGAUUCGAUACAAGAGCGACGAGACGGACGCCAACACUCAGGCGUCACACAUGGAUGAGAGCGAGUCUAGCGAAGGGGAGCAGGAAAAGAAGACCGGAGAGACGGGAAUGUGGGGCGAAGGCAAGUCAACAAGAUUUGGAACUAUGGAGGAUCUGUGUGAAGAAGUUGAAGCGGAAGCAUUGGAUGAGGAAUAUAAUCUGGGAUAUACUCACAUUGAAGACCGUGAUGUUGUCCAAGAAAUGAUCAGAAACAUCAGCGAUGGACAUUCGGAUGAAGAAACUGAAGAACUCUCAAAACCCAUGGUACCCACUAAUGUGUACUAUGAUGAGUUGGAGACAGACAGACUUGUGGAACAGGAAUUAGAAAACCUAGCCACGGACAUCUAUAGCGCUCACUUUGCACAGCAGCAGGUCAAAGAGAGCGAGGAGAUGCUACAUACGUCUCUGGAGGAAAUGACCGAGCAAGAAGAGGCUGGAAUGUCUUCCUGUGAAGAGCCUGAAGUGGGAGUAAAUCACCAACAUGCAUCUUCAAUUACAAUUAUAGAUCAACCUUUCGAGAACCAAUAUUUCAGUGAUUCGUCAAUGGUGAUACGUCGAGCAGACACUCGGGCGGAUGAUGAGGUUCAGCAUAAAGAUCAAGAAGCUAAAGAUGCUCAAGAGAAAAGAGAGGAAGAGGAUGAACACAAUGUGUCCAUGGUGACACACACUGAUGUAACAGAAGAUCUCUCUGGCUUUAAGGACUUCACCAGCAGACCUGACGUGGAGGAAACCAACGACUCACAGGAUCCCAACUCUGUGUCGCAGGUAAUAGCAGAUGAGGAAAACCUGCAGGAUGUGGCGCCCACCACUGAGGUGAAAGAGGUUGCACCUGAGGAAGCAACCAGUGAAUCUCAAGAACAUCUUAUUGAGGAUGUUGCAGACUGUCGAGAACUUCAAGAAGUUUCAGAAACAGCUGAAUGGGAAGUCCUGGAGAACCCAAGUGAGGACUUUGGAGAAAUCAGAGAUCAGAAUGUAGAAUGUGAUAAUGUUCCUAAAUCAGUUGAAAGUUAUUUGCAUGAUGACGGAGGCUCUGAUGAGGGCAUUAUGACAGGUAAAGAGGAGCCCCUCGAGAUUUCCCCCGACAGUGUACCUGAUGAAAACGAUAUCUUUGUGGCGAAGGACUCAACAGAACAAUUGAAUGCGAAUGGCAAAGACAACAGCCUCCAUGGUUUCUUCAGCUCUGGCUUAAAGAAUGACUUAUGGGUGUCCUCCUUGGACACAGGUGCCACCUAUCAACCAAAUGAUGCCUGUAAUGACGCAGCUGAGCAAACCAAUCAGAAUCUAG